rnacentral:rRNA from 1 species
UACGAAGGGGGCUAGCGUUGUUCGGAUUUACUGGGCGUAAAGCGCACGUAGGCGGGUCGUUAAGUCAGGGGUGAAAUCCCGGAGCUCAACUCCGGAACUGCCUUUGAUACUGGCGACCUUGAGGCUGGAAGAGGUUAGUGGAAUUCCCAGUGUAGAGGUGAAAUUCGUAGAUAUUGGGAAGAACACCAGUGGCGAAGGCGGCUAACUGGUCCAGAUCUGACGCUGAGGUGCGAAAGCGUGGGGAGCGAACAGG